rnacentral:rRNA from 1 species
AACGAACGCUGGCGGCAUGCCUAACACAUGCAAGUCGAACGAGACCUUCGGGUCUAGUGGCGCACGGGUGCGUAACGCGUGGGAACCUGCCCUUAGGUUCGGAAUAACUCCCCGAAAGGGGUGCUAAUACCGGAUAAUGUCUUCGGACCAAAGAUUUAUCGCCUUUGGAUGUGCCCGCGUUGGAUUAGCUAGUUGGUAGGGUAAAAGCCUACCAAGGCGACGAUCCAUAGCUGGUCUGAGAGGAUGAUCAGCCACACUGGGACUGAGACACGGCCCAGACUCCUACGGGAAGCAGCAGUGGGGAAUAUUGGACAAUGGGCGAAAGCCUGAUCCAGCAAUGCCGCGUGAGUGAUGAAGGCCUUAGGGUUGUAAAGCUCUUUUACCCGGGAUGAUAAUGACAGUACCGGGAGAAUAAGCUCCGGCUAACUCCGUG